rnacentral:rRNA from 1 species
GGGUUGUGAGGUUAAGCGACUAAGCGUACACGGUGGAUGCCCUGGCAGUCAGAGGCGAUGAAGGACGUGCUAAUCUGCGAUAAGCGUCGGUAAGGUGAUAUGAACCGUUAUAACCGGCGAUUUCCGAAUGGGGAAACCCAGUGUGAUUCGUCACACUAUCAUUAACUGAAUCCAUAGGUUAAUGAGGCGAACCGGGGGAACUGAAACAUCUAAGUACCCCGAGGAAAAGAAAUCAACCGAGAUUCCCCCAGUAGCGGCGAGCGAACGGGGAGCAGCCCAGAGCCUGAAUCAGUGUGUGUGUUAGUGGAAGCGUCUGGAAAGGCGUGCGAUACAGGGUGACAGCCCCGUACACAAAAAUGCACAUACUGUGAGCUCGAUGAGUAGGGCGGGACACGUGGUAUCCUGUCUGAAUAUGGGGGGACCAUCCUCCAAGGCUAAAUACUCCUGACUGACCGAUAGUGAACCAGUACCGUGAGGGAAAGGCGAAAAGAACCCCGGCGAGGGGAGUGAAAAAGAACCUGAAACCGUGUACGUACAAGCAGUGGGAGCACGCUUAGGCGUGUGACUGCGUACCUUUUGUAUAAUGGGUCAGCGACUUAUAUUCUGUAGCAAGGUUAACCGAAUAGGGGAGCCGAAGGGAAACCGAGUCUUAACUGGGCGUUAAGUUGCAGGGUAUAGACCCGAAACCCGGUGAUCUAGCCAUGGGCAGGUUGAAGGUUGGGUAACACUAACUGGAGGACCGAACCGACUAAUGUUGAAAAAUUAGCGGAUGACUUGUGGCUGGGGGUGAAAGGCCAAUCAAACCGGGAGAUAGCUGGUUCUCCCCGAAAGCUAUUUAGGUAGCGCCUCGUGAAUUCAUCUCCGGGGGUAGAGCACUGUUUCGGCAAGGGGGUCAUCCCGACUUACCAACCCGAUGCAAACUGCGAAUACCGGAGAAUGUUAUCACGGGAGACACACGGCGGGUGCUAACGUCCGUCGUGAAGAGGGAAACAACCCAGACCGCCAGCUAAGGUCCCAAAGUCAUGGUUAAGUGGGAAACGAUGUGGGAAGGCCCAGACAGCCAGGAUGUUGGCUUAGAAGCAGCCAUCAUUUAAAGAAAGCGUAAUAGCUCACUGGUCGAGUCGGCCUGCGCGGAAGAUGUAACGGGGCUAAACCAUGCACCGAAGCUGCGGCAGCGACGCUUAUGCGUUGUUGGGUAGGGGAGCGUUCUGUAAGCCUGCGAAGGUGUGCUGUGAGGCAUGCUGGAGGUAUCAGAAGUGCGAAUGCUGACAUAAGUAACGAUAAAGCGGGUGAAAAGCCCGCUCGCCGGAAGACCAAGGGUUCCUGUCCAACGUUAAUCGGGGCAGGGUGAGUCGACCCCUAAGGCGAGGCCGAAAGGCGUAGUCGAUGGGAAACAGGUUAAUAUUCCUGUACUUGGUGUUACUGCGAAGGGGGGACGGAGAAGGCUAUGUUGGCCGGGCGACGGUUGUCCCGGUUUAAGCGUGUAGGCUGGUUUUCCAGGCAAAUCCGGAAAAUCAAGGCUGAGGCGUGAUGACGAGGCACUACGGUGCUGAAGCAACAAAUGCCCUGCUUCCAGGAAAAGCCUCUAAGCAUCAGGUAACAUCAAAUCGUACCCCAAACCGACACAGGUGGUCAGGUAGAGAAUACCAAGGCGCUUGAGAGAACUCGGGUGAAGGAACUAGGCAAAAUGGUGCCGUAACUUCGGGAGAAGGCACGCUGAUAUGUAGGUGAAGUCCCUCGCGGAUGGAGCUGAAAUCAGUCGAAGAUACCAGCUGGCUGCAACUGUUUAUUAAAAACACAGCACUGUGCAAACACGAAAGUGGACGUAUACGGUGUGACGCCUGCCCGGUGCCGGAAGGUUAAUUGAUGGGGUCAGCGCAAGCGAAGCUCUUGAUCGAAGCCCCGGUAAACGGCGGCCGUAACUAUAACGGUCCUAAGGUAGCGAAAUUCCUUGUCGGGUAAGUUCCGACCUGCACGAAUGGCGUAAUGAUGGCCAGGCUGUCUCCACCCGAGACUCAGUGAAAUUGAACUCGCUGUGAAGAUGCAGUGUACCCGCGGCAAGACGGAAAGACCCCGUGAACCUUUACUAUAGCUUGACACUGAACAUUGAGCCUUGAUGUGUAGGAUAGGUGGGAGGCUUUGAAGUGUGGACGCCAGUCUGCAUGGAGCCGACCUUGAAAUACCACCCUUUAAUGUUUGAUGUUCUAACGUUGACCCGUAAUCCGGGUUGCGGACAGUGUCUGGUGGGUAGUUUGACUGGGGCGGUCUCCUCCUAAAGAGUAACGGAGGAGCACGAAGGUUGGCUAAUCCUGGUCGGACAUCAGGAGGUUAGUGCAAUGGCAUAAGCCAGCUUGACUGCGAGCGUGACGGCGCGAGCAGGUGCGAAAGCAGGUCAUAGUGAUCCGGUGGUUCUGAAUGGAAGGGCCAUCGCUCAACGGAUAAAAGGUACUCCGGGGAUAACAGGCUGAUACCGCCCAAGAGUUCAUAUCGACGGCGGUGUUUGGCACCUCGAUGUCGGCUCAUCACAUCCUGGGGCUGAAGUAGGUCCCAAGGGUAUGGCUGUUCGCCAUUUAAAGUGGUACGCGAGCUGGGUUUAGAACGUCGUGAGACAGUUCGGUCCCUAUCUGCCGUGGGCGCUGGAGAACUGAGGGGGGCUGCUCCUAGUACGAGAGGACCGGAGUGGACGCAUCACUGGUGUUCGGGUUGUCAUGCCAAUGGCACUGCCCGGUAGCUAAAUGCGGAAGAGAUAAGUGCUGAAAGCAUCUAAGCACGAAACUUGCCCCGAGAUGAGUUCUCCCUGACUCCUUGAGAGUCCUGAAGGAACGUUGAAGACGACGACGUUGAUAGGCCGGGUGUGUAAGCGCAGCGAUGCGUUGAGCUAACCGGUACUAAUGAACCGUGAGGCUUAACCUUACAACGCCGAAGGUGUUU